rfam:Brassica napus, WGS project CCCW01000000 data, contig: 4871
UUAUAUAGACGUAUGUAAUUACGGGGUUCUAAGCUUUACGGGAAAUCCAACCGAAAGUUUUUUAGUUUCUUAAAUAAGAAAUUUUCGGUUGGGUUUCCCGUAAAGCUUAGAACUCUGCAAUUACAUACGUUUAUAUAA